GCCUCCCCGUCCAAGAUGUCGAUGUUUCAGUUAUCCCUGUCUUAAUUAGACAUGUCGAGGGUAGUGCGCCUAGCACGUGUGGUAUUUUGUCUGAGACGGGG
rnacentral:snoRNA from 1 species